AUGGUUGUGGCUUAGUGGUAGAGCGUGCGCCUAGCAUGUGCAAAGCCUUGGGUUCAAUCCUCAGCACCACA
rfam:Ictidomys tridecemlineatus contig062692, whole genome shotgun sequence.